rnacentral:rRNA from 1 species
AGAACGAACGCUGGCGGCAGGCUUAACACAUGCAAGUCGAACGGUUGUAGCAAUACAGCAGUGGCAGACGGGUGAAUAACACGUGGGAACCUUCCUCGUAGUACGGAACAACUCAGGGAAACUUGAGCUAAUACCGUAUACGUCCGAGAGGAGAAAGAUUUAUCGCUAUGAGACGGGCCCGCGUCCGAUUAGCUUGUUGGUGGGUAACGCCUACAAGGCAACGAUCGGUAGCUGAUCUGAGAGGAUGAUCAGCCACACUGGGACUGAGACACGGCCCAGACUCCUACGGGAGGCAGCAGUGGGGAAUCUUGGGACAAUGGGCGAAAGCCUGAUCCAGCCAUGCCGCGUGAGUGAAGAAGGCCUUAGGGUUGUAAAGCUCUUUUGGCAGGGACGAUAAUGACGGUACCUGCAGAAUAAGCCCGCAAACUUCGUGCCAGCAGCCGAC